rnacentral:lncRNA from 1 species
AACUAACUACUCGCUCAAUGCGCAUUGAAAUUCUAAUGAAUGCCCUUAUUUAGCAUCUUUGAGUUGAGCUUAGCCCUCUUCCUAUCCUAAACCCCUAGAAUCAUAAGGAACGAUUGAUGGUUGAUCUGGCAAUUCUUUUUAGUAAUUAGUUAGUCUAUCAAGCAGAAAACUAUGACUGAGGAAGUCUCAGGGAGGGCACCCCCUUUUAAGGUAAUUAUAUGCCGUCGCCCCCCACGUUAGAACUUUUAGCCCUCUUCCUAUCCUAAACCCCUAUAAUCAUAAGAACGAUUGAUUGUUGAUCUGGCAAUUCUUUUUAGUAAUUAGUUAGUCUAUCAAGCAGAAAACUAUGACUGAGGAAGUCUCAGGGAGGGCACCCCCUUUUAAGGUAAUUAUAUGCCGUCGCCCCCCACGUUAGAACUCUCUUUAACCGGAAUCUUUAUGGCUAAACCUUUUUUUUUAACCGAUUAAAUCGUAAGU